CUCGUAGUUGGAUUUCUGGUGGGAGCGACCGGUCCGACGCUUAGCGUGGGUACUUGCGUCGUCUCCGGCCAUCCUUGGGGAGAGUUUGUCUGGCAUUAAGUUGUCGGGCAGAGGAUCCUCAUCGUUUACUGUGAAAAAAUUAGAGUGUUCAAAGCAGGCUUAUGCCGUUGAAUAUAUUAGCAUGGAAUAAUAAGAUAGGACUUUGGUACUAUUUUGUUGGUUUGCGCACCAAAGUAAUGAUUAAUAGGGACAGUUGGGGAUAUUCGUAUUUCGUUGUCAGAGGUGAAAUUCUUGGAUUUACGAAAGACGAACUACUGCGAAAGCAUUUAUCAA
rnacentral:rRNA from 1 species